GCACCUCAUAGCAACCCUGUCGAUUCUGUGCAGUGUUUGACACGGGUCACGCCGGUGCCAUAGAGACGCAACGUAUAACCAGAUGGUCUUCCUCUUCCCGUGGAGCCCGUCUCUACAGCUUUGAUACACAA